AGGAGAUGGACGUGAUUUGGGGUGAAAGGCACUGAUAAACGGAAUGCUCCCAGCAUCUGCAAGACGGCGAGAGGUAUUUGGCCUUCUUGACAUUUUUUUUCACAAAGUUGCAAUGACUGAGAUGAAAACUCAAGAGGAGUAGAUAACGAGAUAUUGAGGUUGAAGGUGGGAUCCGGAUCUUUUGGUUCUCGCUACCCUACGAGCUGUGUCUUCCUUUAA
rnacentral:misc_RNA from 1 species